GGGUAUGUGGAAUCCUGGAGCUUUCUUAGUGGGUAUACUGCAUAUACCUGCGUCUCACGAAGACUACACAACUGUUGGUGCCAAAAGUGCUGUUU